GACAGAGGGUGCAAACGUUGUUCGGAAUUACUGGGCGUAAAGCGCGUGUAGGUGGCGAGGCAAGUCGGGUGUGAAAGCCCUGGGCUCAACCCAGGAAGUGCACUCGAUACUGCCUAGCUAGAGUCCCGGAGAGGUUGGUGGAACUCUCGGUGUAGAGGUGAAAUUCGUAGAUAUCGAGAAGAACACCGGUGGCGAAGGCGGCCAACUGGACGGCGACUGACACUGAGACGCGAAAGCGUGGGGAGCAAACAGGG
rnacentral:rRNA from 1 species